GGAAUGCUGGGACAGAGAAAGAAAGGAAAUGGUUGCAAUAAAAAUUGUGCGUGGAAUCAGGAAAUAUCGUGAUGCAGCUAUGAUAGAAAUUGAAGUGUUGCAACAGCUUGGAAAGCAUGAUAAAGGUGGCAACCGUCAUGCAUGAUCUACGAAUGAUACAUACGGACUUGAAGCCAGAGAACAUAUUGUUGGUCUCCGCAGAUUAUGUAAAAGUACACGACUACAAGAAUUUGUCUCGAUCACCAAGGGAUAGUUCUAACUUCAAAAGAGUGCCCAAGUCUAGUGCUAUAAAGGUGAUUGAUUUUGGUAGCACCACAUAUGAUCGUCAAGACCAGAAUUACAUUGUAUCAACACGCCAUUAUAGAGCACCAGAGGUUAUUCUUGGUCUUGGAUGGAGUUUUCCUUGUGACAUAUGGAGUGUUGGCUGUAUCCUU
rnacentral:misc_RNA from 1 species